rnacentral:misc_RNA from 1 species
CUAAGCGCCAAUGGAGUUUUGUGGUAUGGAGUUCAAAAGUGGGGAGCCCCAAAAGGUUAAAAUUGGUGGUGAUUUCUUUUUGCAUGUUUCACAGCACAGAUGGGAAGAAAGUGGUUGGUCAUGCAGCAACUCCUCACCUUUCAAAGCAAACUGUAAAAACUCCUACUAACAGUGACCAGAAAAAAGGAGCAGAAUCAAAAAUCUUUUGUACGUGCGUCUUGCAACAGGUCAUUCGGAUCUGAAGUUGCUUUACAAUCUCAUACAAAGGCCAAGCAC